UACGAAGGGUGCAAACGUUGCUCGGAAUUAUUGGGCGUAAGCGCACGUAGGCGGCUUUCAAGUCGGAUGUGAAAUCCCUCGGCUUAACCAAGGAAGUGCAUCCGAAACUGGAGAGCUUGAGUACUUAAGAGGAUCGCGGAAUUCCCGGUGUAGAGGUGAAAUUCGUAGAUAUCAGGAAGAACACCCGUGGCGAAGGCGGCUCUCUGGAAGCGCAACUGACGCUGAGACGCGAAAGCGUGGGGAGCAAACAGG
rnacentral:rRNA from 1 species